rnacentral:rRNA from 1 species
CCAGGCGGAUGCUUAAUGCGUUAGGUGUGUCACCGACACGCAUGCGCGCCGACGACUGGCAUUCAUCGUUUACGGUGUGGACUACCAGGGUAUCUAAUCCUGUUUGCUCCCCACACUUUCGCACCUCAGCGUCAGUAUCGAGCCAGUGAGCCGCCUUCGCCACUGGUGUUCCUCCGAAUAUCUACGAAUUUCACCUCUACACUCGGAAUUCCACUCACCUCUCUCGAACUCCAGACNANAAGUUUUGGAGGCAGUUCCGGGGUUGAGCCCCGGGAUUUCACCCCCAACUUUCUGAUCCGCCUACGUGCGCUUUACGCCCAGUAAUUCCGAACAACGCUAACCCCCUCCGUAUUACCGCGGCUGCUGGCACGGAGUUAGCCGGGGUUUCUUUACCUGCUACCGUCAUUAUCUUCACAGGCGAAAGAGCUUUACGACCCUAGGGCCUUCGUCACUCACGCGGCAUGGCUAGAUCAGGCUUGCGCCCAUUGUCUAAGAUUCCCCACUGCUGCCUCCCGUA